rnacentral:lncRNA from 1 species
CAGGUGUAGAUGAAUUUCUUUUAUUCACUGUUCAGCAAAGUUAACCUGAAUUAUGUUGUCUUGUUUUUUAAAAUCUCACAUUCUCAAUCAUAUUUUUGCGUUAUUUAUGUAUUUGCUUUGUAGUUUACCGAGACAGAUCAGUAUCAGGGGAGCUUUGAGGACUCGCCUUCCCAGAUUUUGUCAUAUUACAACCAAAUUCUUAAUGCUAACCUAGCACCUUUUAUUUAUUGGGUUUUUUCCUGGCAUAAAAAGUAAAGCCUCUUAAUUGAAUCAUGCCACCUAUAUGCCUAUAUUAUUAAUCCUAUGUGUAAAAAAAAAUGUACAGCUUUUUGGGGGUUUGUUUUGGGAUUUGAAGGGGCCGGGUUAUUUUUUAUUUUCUGUUUCAGUUUUUGUGCACAGACUGUCACAAUAGCUCCAAGGCAGGGACAGCAGGUUUAGGGAAUAGGGGGCAGUUUUUGGAAUGUAAAUUUAGGACUUUUAAAAAAGGUGCGCACAGCUUCUGAUAAAUUUAUAACUAGACUUAACCUAAUCAUGUCUCGUUCCAGUUCUCUUUCUCUGAGCCCUUUUCUAGGUCUCCUCUCCUCUCCUUGCUUCUCUCUCUCUCUCCCUCCCUCCCCAUCCUCGUCCUUCCUUUCUCCAUCUCUUCAACACAAGCUUACAGACUUGAGCACCCAGCCAGUGCUCUUCUGAGAACUGUGAAGCCCAUGUUCAUCCAAAUGUACCAAAAAAAGAAGUCACCCUACAUGUCUAAAAACUGUUGCUUCUCUCUGAAACUUCAGACUCCAGCAAUUUCCAAAUACAAUAUGAGCUUUGUUUUCUUUAAUUUUUGUAAUGGCAAAUGUUUUGAAGGAAAAUUUUACACCAGGCUUCCAGUUAUACUAGAAGUCAAGUCCGGUAGGGACUCCUUAUUUUCAGUUGGUUGUUGAGAAGUUUCAAAAACCAGUCUUCAAGCUGUGGUCUUUCAAAUACAUCUUCUGCACAUAAGUCACACAUUUCAAUAAAGCAUUUUCAAGACUGUUGACCACUUGAAUUUCUUUGGUGUUGGUGAAUUAGCCUAACCAUUACCAGAUUUUAUAUCUCUGAUCCAGUAUUUUUUUUUCUUUUUAUGCUAAACAUGGAGAUUGUGAUUUUGUGUGAAUGCAUUACUUUGGAUGUGAGAAACUGAAAAUGCCAAUUAUAUGCUCUCCCUUUUCUGCGCAAAUUCUGGGAAAAUGUAAGAAAGAGCCUUUUUAAUGUGGUUUUAGAGAACAACCAUUGAGGGUAGUUUAAUUUAGAUGAUCAAUUUUAACACUUCAGAAGACCUAGGGGUUCAUAAGAUUCCAUCUCAUGUAGAAUACUGUAUAUUAAUUAUUUUUUAUCAGAUAUUUUACAAAUACCUCACCUCAUCCUGUAUGUAAUCAAUAAUGUAUUAUUUUAGAGUAGAAAGACACAGAAUAUCAAUAUAAAAUAUAUUUAAGCC